GAUGAAGAACGUAGCGAAAUGCGAUAAGUAAUGUGAAUUGCAGAAUUCAGUGAAUCAUCGAAUCUUUGAACGCACAUUGCGCCCGCCAGUAUUCUGGCGGGCAUGCUUGUUCGAGCGUCAUUUCAACCAUCAAGCCCCCGGCUUGUGUUGGGGACCUGCGGCUGCCGCAGGCCCUGAAAACCAGUGGCGGGCUCGCUAGUCACUCCGAGCGUAGUAAUACAUCUCGCUCAGGGCGUGCUGCGGGUUCCGGCCGUUAAAAAGCCUUAUUUACCCAAGGUUGACCUCGGAUCAGGUAGGAAGACCCGCUGAACUUAAGCAUAUCAAUAAGCGGAGGA
rnacentral:misc_RNA from 1 species